rnacentral:rRNA from 1 species
CCUACGGGAGGCAGCAGUAAGGAAUAUUGGUCAAUGGACGAAAGUCUGAACCAGCCAUGCCGCGUGGAGGAUGAAGGUCCUCUGGAUUGUAAACUUCUUUUAUAUGGGACGAAAAAAGGCCUUUCUAGGCCGUCUGACGGUACCAUAUGAAUAAGCACCGGCUAACUCCGUGCCAGCAGCCGCGGUAAUACGGAGGGUGCAAGCGUUAUCCGGAUUCACUGGUGCUAAAGGGGGUUGAUAAGGGUGGAGUGAAAUCUCCGAGCUUAACUUGGAAACUGCCAUUGAUACUAUUAAUCUUGAAUAUUGUGGAGGUUAGCGGAAUAUGUCAUGUAGCGGUGAAAUGCUUAGAUAUGACAUAGAACACCAAUUGCGAAGGCAGCUGGCUACACAUAUAUUGACACUGAGGCACGAAAGUGUGGGGAUCAAACAGGAUUAGAUACCCUGGUAGUC